rnacentral:rRNA from 1 species
GACGAACGCUGGCGGCGUGCUUAACACAUGCAAGUCGAACGGUGAGGCCCUGCUUUUGUGCGGUCCUCAAGAGGAGAAAGGGUGAGUAUAACGCGUGUAACAUGCCCUUGACUUUGGGAUACCUUCUGGAGACUGGAGCUCAUAUCCCACAGGAGCUCCUGAUGCAUGGUGGGGGUGGGUAAGUUUCGCAGGUUGGGGAUGCACACGCGGUCUAUCAGCUUGUUGGUGGGGUAGUGACUUACCAAGGCACUGACGCGUAGCCGGCCUGAGAGGGUGACCGGCCACAUUGGGACUGGGAUACGACCCAGACUCCUACUGGAGGCAGCAGUGGGGAAUUGUGCACAAUGGGCGGAGGCCGUGUGCAACAACGCCGCAUGGUGGAUGACGGCCGUCGGGUUGGAAACCGCGUGCGCCUGUGACGAAGCGUGAGUGACGGUAAUUGGUAAAGAAGCACCGGCUAACUACGUG